rnacentral:rRNA from 1 species
CCCUUAGAUGUCCGGGGCCGCACGCGCGCUACACUGAAGGAAUCAGCGUGGCUUUCUCCCUGACCCGAAAGGGUUGGGAAACCCGUUGAAUCUCCUUCGUGAUAGGGAUUGGGGCUUGAAAUUGUUCCCCAUGAACGAGGAAUUCCCAGUAAGCGCGAGUCAUAAGCUCGCGUUGAUUACGUCCCUGCCCUUUGUACACACCGCCCGUCGCUACUACUGAUUGGGUGUUCAAGUGAGAUGCUUAGACCCUUGUUGCAUGGUUCAUUAUUGUGCUCCGAAAGGAAAAAGUUUCAAGCUUGAGUGUCUAGAGGAAGUAAAAGUCGUAACA